rnacentral:rRNA from 1 species
CAGUAGCCGCGGGAAUACGAAGGGGGCUAGCGUUGUUCGGAUUUACUGGGCGUAAAGCGCACGUAGGCGGACUUUUAAGUCAGGGGUGAAAUCCCGGGGCUCAACCCCGGAACUGCCUUUGAUACUGGAAGUCUUGAGUAUGGUAGAGGUGAGUGGAAUUCCGAGUGUAGAGGUGAAAUUCGUAGAUAUUCGGAGGAACACCAGUGGCGAAGGCGGCUCACUGGACCAUUACUGACGCUGAGGUGCGAAAGCGUGGGGAGCAAACAGGAUUAGAUACCCCAGUAGUCCCUGUCUCUUAUAC